AACGAACGCUGGCGGCAUGCCUAACACAUGCAAGUCGAACGAGACCUUCGGGUCUAGUGGCGCACGGGUGCGUAACGCGUGGGAAUCUGCCCUUAGGUACGGAAUAACUCAGGGAAACUUGAGCUAAUACCGUAUAAUGACUCCGGUCCAAAGAUUUAUCGCCUAAGGAUGAGCCCGCGUCGGAUUAGCUAGUUGGUGAGGUAAAAGCUCACCAAGGCGACGAUCCGUAGCUGGCUGAGAGGAUGAUCAGCCACACUGGGACUGAGACACGGCCCAGACUCCUACGGGAGGCAGCAGUGGGGAAUAUUGGACAAUGGGCGAAAGCCUGAUCCAGCAAUGCCGCGUGAGUGAUGAAGGCCUUAGGGUUGUAAAGCUCUUUUACCCGGGAUGAUAAUGACAGUACCGGGAGAAUAAGCCCCGCUAACUCCGUGCAGCCGCCGCGGU
rnacentral:rRNA from 1 species